GUGCACUUAGCUCAGUGGUUAGAGCACCCUUCUAGAGUUUGGGGAAAAUAGGUCAUGGGUUCAAGUCCUGUAGUGCACA
rnacentral:tRNA from 1 species